AAAAGCCCGCUCGCCGGAAGACCAAGGGUUCCUGUCCAACGUUAAUCGGGGCAGGGUGAGUCGACCCCUAAGGCGAGGCCGAAAGGCGUAGUCGAUGGGAAACAGGUUAAUAUUCCUGUACUUGGUGUUACUGCGAAGGGGGGACGGAGAAGGCUAUGUUGGCCGGGCGACGGUUGUCCCGGUUUAAGCGUGUAGGCUGGUUUUCCAGGCAAAUCCGGAAAAUCAAGGCUGAGGCGUGAUGACGAGGCACUACGGUGCUGAAGCAACAAAUGCCCUGCUUCCAGGAAAAGCCUCUAAGCAUCAGGUAACAUCAAAUCGUACCCCAAACCGACACAGGUGGUCAGGUAGAGAAUACCAAGGCGCUUGAGAGAACUCGGGUGAAGGAACUAGGCAAAAUGGUGCCGUAACUUCGGGAGAAGGCACGCUGAUAUGUAGGUGAAGUCCCUCGCGGAUGGAGCUGAAAUCAGUCGAAGAUACCAGCUGGCUGCAACUGUUUAUUAAAAACACAGCACUGUGCAAACACGAAAGUGGACGUAUACGGUGUGACGCCUGCCCGGUGCCGGAAGGUUAAUUGAUGGGGUCAGCGCAAGCGAAGCUCUUGAUCGAAGCCCCGGUAAACGGCGGCCGUAACUAUAACGGUCCUAAGGUAGCGAAAUUCCUUGUCGGGUAAGUUCCGACCUGCACGAAUGGCGUAAUGAUGGCCAGGCUGUCUCCACCCGAGACUCAGUGAAAUUGAACUCGCUGUGAAGAUGCAGUGUACCCGCGGCAAGACGGAAAGACCCCGUGAACCUUUACUAUAGCUUGACACUGAACAUUGAGCCUUGAUGUGUAGGAUAGGUGGGAGGCUUAGAAGUGUGGACGCCAGUCUGCAUGGAGCCGACCUUGAAAUACCACCCUUUAAUGUUUGAUGUUCUAACGUUGACCCGUAAUCCGGGUUGCGGACAGUGUCUGGUGGGUAGUUUGACUGGGGCGGUCUCCUCCUAAAGAGUAACGGAGGAGCACGAAGGUUGGCUAAUCCUGGUCGGACAUCAGGAGGUUAGUGCAAUGGCAUAAGCCAGCUUGACUGCGAGCGUGACGGCGCGAGCAGGUGCGAAAGCAGGUCAUAGUGAUCCGGUGGUUCUGAAUGGAAGGGCCAUCGCUCAACGGAUAAAAGGUACUCCGGGGAUAACAGGCUGAUACCGCCCAAGAGUUCAUAUCGACGGCGGUGUUUGGCACCUCGAUGUCGGCUCAUCACAUCCUGGGGCUGAAGUAGGUCCCAAGGGUAUGGCUGUUCGCCAUUUAAAGUGGUACGCGAGCUGGGUUUAGAACGUCGUGAGACAGUUCGGUCCCUAUCUGCCGUGGGCGCUGGAGAACUGAGGGGGGCUGCUCCUAGUACGAGAGGACCGGAGUGGACGCAUCACUGGUGUUCGGGUUGUCAUGCCAAUGGCACUGCCCGGUAGCUAAAUGCGGAAGAGAUAAGUGCUGAAAGCAUCUAAGCACGAAACUUGCCCCGAGAUGAGUUCUCCCUGACUCCUUGAGAGUCCUGAAGGAACGUUGAAGACGACGACGUUGAUAGGCCGGGUGUGUAAGCGCAGCGAUGCGUUGAGCUAACCGGUACUAAUGAACCGUGAGGCUUAACCUUACAACGCCGAAG
rnacentral:rRNA from 1 species